rnacentral:rRNA from 1 species
AACGAACGCUGGCGGCAUGCCUAACACAUGCAAGUCGAACGAGACCUUCGGGUCUAGUGGCGCACGGUUGCGUAACGCGUGGGAACCUGCCCUUAGGUUCGGAAUAACUCCCCGAAAGGGGUGCUAAUACCGGAUAAUGUCUUCGGACCAAAGAUUUAUCGCCUUUGGAUGGGCCCGCGUUGGAUUAGCUAGUUGGUAGGGUAAAAGCCUACCAAGGCGACGAUCCAUAGCUGGUCUGAGAGGAUGAUCAGCCACACUGGGACUGAGACACGGCCCAGACUCCUACGGGAGGCAGCAGUGGGGAAGAUUGGACAAUGGGCGAAAGCCUGAUCCAGCAAUGCCGCGUGAGUGAUGAAGGCCUUAGGGUUGUAAAGCUCUUUACCCGGGAUGAUAAUGACAGUACCGGGAGAAUAAGCUCCGGCUAACUCCGUG